ACAGGAGGCUCAAUUUGGGCAUCUUUGGAAGUAAUUUCAAAAGAUAAACUUGGCUGUAUCGGUGAAUCCCGGACUUUGUUGGGAAAUACCGAGGCAAUCUCCGCCAUCUGACGGAGCGAGUCCGUAGAGACUAUACGCCAAGCCCCCCGAUUGAAACGGGGGUGAAGAUAUAGUCCGGUACUCUGAGUAAUCAGAGA
rnacentral:ncRNA from 1 species